rnacentral:rRNA from 1 species
CCAGACUCCUACGGGAGGCAGCAGUAGGGAAUCUUUCACAAUGGGCGAAAGCCUGAUGGAGCAACGCCGCGUGCAGGAUGAAGGCCUUCGGGUUGUAAACUGCUUUUAUAAGCGAGAAAUAUGAUGGUAACUUAUGAAUAAGGAUCGGCUAACUCCGUGCCAGCAGCCGCGGUAAUACGGAGGAUGCGAGCGUUAUCCGGAUUUAUUGGGUUUAAAGGGUGCGUAGGCGGAAUAUCAAGUCAGCGGUAAAAAUUCGGGGCUCAACCCCGUCGUGCCGUUGAAACUGAUGUUCUUGAGUGGGCGAGAAGUAUGCGGAAUGCGUGGUGUAGCGGUGAAAUGCAUAGAUAUCACGCAGAACUCCGAUUGCGAAGGCAGCAUACCGGCGCCCAACUGACGCUGAAGCACGAAAGCGUGGGUAUCGAACAGGAUUAGAUACCCCAGUA